GGGGGUGACAAAGUUUCGACACACCUAAUAAAAUAAUAAAUUUUGCCCGAUAUGAUUCCGUCGUUUUAAGCAGUAUUUAUAAAAAUUGUUUAAAUGGGUCAAAAAAAGAAAUGCAAAUGAUAACAUAAAGCAUUCUACAGACGGUAAUUUCCAAUUGAGUGCAUUAGCAGCUUAAGGAAAUUGGCGUACUGAGCGGUAGUAGGGCUUACCGGGCAACAGAAAAGCCCUAAU
rnacentral:tmRNA from 1 species